UGUCUCUGUCCUCAGGCAGGGACAAAACAACCCCUGUUCAUCCCAGUUUGGCUUUUGGUCUGUGCCCAUACCUGGUUCAUGCCUUGGACACAUGG
rnacentral:snoRNA from 1 species